AGGAGCUGCGUUAACUGGUGAGAAAAUGCAGGAGAAUGUUGGAGCCUAAUUCCGGGCACUGGUGGCCCAGUGAUACAACACCCCCCUCUGCUGGCGGAUGUACCUCACUACAAACAUGGAGGGGAAAUCAUCAGGAAUUCAAUAGGAGGGCCGCAUCACACAGCAUUGAGCAAAACUAACAGGAACAUCAACAUGGUCACAAGUUCGGUGUGGAAAUAGAGAGAAUACCUACUACGCAGCCCAAUAUCCACAUCCAAUAUCCAGCAAGCUUCAAAAUUAUGAAGUUCCUAGCCACCUAGAAUUUGAGGUGCAAUCAUCAGAUGAAUCCAUAUUCAACCAGCCCAAAAUCUCACCAAAGGUCUGCAGUGUGAAUGUAAUGGGGAAGUUGCAUUUCUGUAUAUGCUUAAGUCAGAGUUUAAUGUUCCACCUGAAACAUGCAGUCAGUCCACACACU